AUGGUUUCUGCUUGGGAACAAAGGCAGCUUCUCACAGAUGUGAGAAUGAAAACUGCUAGGCCUAUGCUUUUUGAUGCAAAGCUCUCAGCCGAGAUAUUAUUCAUCCAAAAUUGUCACAGAUGCUGUGCUGUAGAAGCUGUGAUUAGGUGCCUGGACUGUGUACCACUGGACAUGGAGUUUCUCUGUGCUACCUGUGACAUGGAGGCCCACAAGAGAAAUGUCUUCCAUGACAGAGAGGCUGUGUUCCAUGGAUUUCUUGAGCCCAUUCCCCCUACAACUGCUGUGGUGGUGAAUGAACAUGGUCAGCGUCAGUUUUGUGAACAAAUAUGCCAAUGCCUGUUCCUGCACCAAGGUCAAUUUGUGAAUGCACUCAUGACUUCACAAUCACUCCAGGGAAGCAUAUUUCUGUGGUCACCAUCAAUGGACGAUACAAUGUCUGCUUGCCCCGGAAAUCGUGUUCAUCAUGCUUUGCAGAAUGGACUCCCGAGGUGAAGGACCUGUUCAUUUAUCGGUACUGGCCAGCUAGCAUCAACUGCCAGACCCUAUACAAGUUUGAUGUCUUCACCUCGUUUGAAAAUUUGAAGUUCUAUUUGGAAAACUGGGACGCGUUGUUAUCAGCGCUCAUAUGCUCCCAUCCAGACAUUGUCUCUUUCAGGGAAGACCUUGCAUUUUCCAACAUGACAAUGCCAGACCACAUACUGCAUCAAUUACAACAUCAUGGCUGCGUAGAAGAAGGAUCCGGGUACUGAAAUGGCCAGCCUGCAGUCCAGAUCUUUCACCCACAGAAAACAUUUGGCGCAUCAUAAAGAGGAAGAUGUGACAAAGAAGACCUAAGACAGUUGAGCAACUAGAAGCCUGUAUUAGACAAGAAUGGGACAACAUUCCUAUUCCUAAACUUGAGCAACUUGUCUCCUCAGUCCCCAGACGUUUGCAGACUGUUAUAAAAAGAAGAGGGGAUGCCACACAGUGGUAAACAUGGCCUUGUCCCAACUUUUUUGAGAUGUGUUGAUGCCAUGAAAUUUAAAAUCAACUUAUUUGUCCCUUAAAAUGAUACAUUUUCUCAGUUUAAACAUUGAACAUGUAAUCUAUGUUGUAUUCUGAAUAAAAUAUUGAAAUUUGAAACGUCCA
ensembl:lncRNA